UACGUAGGGGGCAAGCGUUGUCCCGGAUUUAUUGGGCGUAAAGAGCGUGUAGGCGGCUUGGUAGGUCCGCUGUGAAAACUCGAGGCUCAACCUCGAGAUGUCGGCGGAAACCACUUGGCUAGAGUCCGGAAGAGGAGAGUGGAAUUCCUGGUGUAGCGGUGAAAUGCGCAGAUAUCAGGAAGAACACCUAUGGCGAAGGCAGCUCUCUGGGACGGUACUGACGCUGAGACGCGAAAAGCGUGGGGGGAGCGAACAGG
rnacentral:rRNA from 1 species